GGGUUUUACCCAAGGGUUUAGAGUUUACCCAAGGGUUUAGGGUUUACCCAAGGGUUUAGGGUUUAGGGAUUAGGAUUUAGGGUUUAGGGAAUAGGAUUUAGGAUUUAGUGUUUUGCUGACGACAUUAAAAAGAUUUUUUUUAAUUCUUUUUUCUGUAACUACUUUUUUUUAUUUUUUAUUUUAAAAACAUAAUAUAACUUAACAAUAUUUUG
rnacentral:lncRNA from 1 species